CUGCGGGCGGCAGAGGCGAUGCAAGGCCAGGCGCGGCGGGGACAAGCGGGAGGUGAGGGCCUCCGGUAGUUUAAGCGUUGUUUGCGGCUGCCCCUGGCUUGCCCGCAUUCCUCUCGCACAUGGAAAAGUUGUUCCCGUUCUGGAAGGAUAGCGCUGGACGUCUGCCCAGGCUGGCUAAACACUGGAGACUUGAUGGUCCUGCUGUAUUUAUUGAGUGGCGGUCUCAAAGAGCCUAAACCACCGGAGCAAAGGCAAAUAUUAAUGAAACAUUGAAGCUGAGAUUUUAAUUACUUAAAAGGUUACCAAAGACCACAUUUUCUUUCAAGCUGUGUUGUGGUAGGCCUGAGCAGGCAUACACAUGCCUUGGCUUGCCCAGGCAUGGUUUUCUGAUCUCCUUCCUUCUGUUUUGGGGAGAAGCAACCACAGGAAAGAGGGCAAAGAACCUGGAGCCAUGUAGUCUAAGGGCUCUGGCCUGCCCAGUCUUGUUUACAUCCUCUGGCUUAGCUUGUGCCUGCCUUGUGCAAGGCCUAUGCUUUUCCCAAAUUUGGGUGAAGUGUGCCUGUGACUUCACCUAAUAUGGUCAAGCUUGGUUAACUGCCAUUCUGAUGGCUGUUCUGUGUCUAAAGGCCCAUUCGUCUUGGGCUGUAUUUAUAAAAUGAGUUGAGCAGGUAACACAACAUGCUCUCUGCCGUUGAAAUCAUGCUUGCUUGCCUGCUGCCAUUGCUUACUCCCUUAUUGUAUCCUGAACUGCCUGGGAACUCCACUGCCCAAGUUUACCAGAAGCAGGCUCUAAAAACCUCCACACAAUCGGCCUGCAUAGCCAGCAUGAUGUUGUACUAAGACUGCAUAUCGCAAGACACCCUGCCUACACCUGAAAGUCUCCUGCCAAAAUUGAAAGUCCUAGAGAUACACAGAUUGUCCAGAGGAGCCAAGAUACAAGGUCAGAGAUUGUCUGCCUCCUUUCCCAGCACUCUGUGAAGCCUGGGAAGAACCAGAAGCAUCAGUGGCUAACAAGCCAGAAUUCCCUGCAAGCAUCUGGGUACUGUCUGAAGCUGUAGCUAGCCCUGCGAGUCAGGAAAUAAUAUUUUGUGAGAAACAUUUACAGCCUCUUGUAAUUCACCAUAGCCUUCUGCCAUAAGCAGAGAGAAGCUCCUUGAGUCCAUCUAGUGGACAAGUGGUAUAUUGGCUGCAAGCAUUGUAUUUACUGCAGGAACCUUCUCUUCCAGUUCAAUUGAUUUCAAUUAAUGUUUAUAUAUUUUUGCAAGGUAUUUCUAGAUCUAGUUAUUCCUCUGUACAAUGUUUAUAUGACUGUGCAAAGAACUGAUUAUUAUUAAAAUUAGUAAUCUGGGGUGGUGAGAAAUGUGAAUAUCAAAAUUAAUAAAAAUAUUAAAUUGGGAAAAUAUUAUGUCAUAUUAAUUACCUC